GGUUGAGCAUGCAAAACCAUAUGGGUAUAACCACACACACUACAAGAAAUCUGGGAUUUGCUGGCGAUUUCAUAAUCGCUGCAAAUAAUUUCGUUGGCAAAGGUAGAGUUUGGUUGCAUUUUUAAUCGCUGUGCGUUUAAAAAUGAAUCUGUGAUCAUUACAUUAAUCGAACUAUUGGCAAUGAGAGUUAACUGCUGGAUAAAUCGAUACUUUUUAUUCUCUGCGUCGCCAUUUUGUGGGGCGCGAAAACUCACUUCUUUGGCAAAUUUUAUUUUUCCCCGCCCCUUCCCCCCUUCCCCCACCAAAGACAUUUUCCCCCUAAUUGCGACGGCUUCACCGAAAGCCAGCGAUUCAGCGUUUGAAUCCUAGCGUAGCGUGCACGGCUUCACCAAAACCCACUCAAAAACCAACCUACACAGCUAUCCUCCUCCACAAGAAACCACCAUUAAUAGCGAAGCAUCCACCAAUUUUGCCGAACGGAAGGUUGCACUUCACUCUUGGAGUACAGGUGGGGGUGCACUGCCUGUUGUCUCAUUUUGUGUUUCCAAGACGUACGUUGCAUCUGUGUUGGAUCUGAUUGCUUUGAUGAGUGCUUUAAAGGGGUUUAAAGCAUAUACAUGCAACAUAUGGGGUGGAUCUUCCUAAUGCAUAGCAAUUGAGCAAUUGUACUAAAUUUGACCAUGGAGCAAUGAUGGGCUCGGGAUGCACUUAAUACAAAGACUAAGCGGACAAUACGGAUGUACUGACUUCCAUGCAAUAGAUCAGAAGAGUAAUUGAUUAGCGAGGUGAUAUGGCCAUUCAAGCUUGGGCAAUCAUGGAAAUAGGCGUCAGUUUUCUAUAUUCGUGCUCGCCACCUUUGUUAAUCAAAUGCCCGAAGUGCAAAACUAUGGGUGGAAAUGUCUGUGGGUAGAAAUGUCGAUGAUAAGUCUCACUUCAAAGUUUCAAUGUGUAACUUGGUAUAGAUUAUUUUAGUGAUACUACAGUCUUCAAAUCAAUUAUAUAAUAUUGAUGAUAGUGUAUUAUGUAAUUCAUAGCUUAGCUUGUAUUUGAGAUAUGAUCAGUAAGAAUUUCCACCCAAUGAUAGUUUAUAUAUGAGUUUACUUGAA